AUAAUCUUUUUUCUGGGCUGGUUGAAUCUCUCACAUUCUCCACUUUCACAUGCAGGACACCUUUCUCUUCUUGCCAUCCUUUUGUUGCAAGUCUCUGUUUCCUUAAGGACCGGCUUCCUAGGGACUUUGUUGCAAUGAGACAUUUUUUUUGGCUGGAGUUUGAGACCUUAGAGGUUUACAGUUUUCUGUUUUCCUUCACCCAGAAAAGAAAUAAUAGGAAUUGUAAGAGGAACUGAGAUUCUUAUUUUGCUACAAGGUCCUAGCAGCCACAAUGACUUCUUGUCUCCCCCUCUGCUCUCCCAGUAAAGCAUUAAAUGACUUAGAAGACCUGAAAACACUUAGAUUAAAAAAUAAAGAAAAAAAAAAAAAAACUCCACCAUAAAGAUUAAAAUAAAAGAGGUGUUAAGACUUCUGAAAACCAGUGGCCUGUAUUUAAGCCUGUCCUGUACUUUCUAGAGCACCUAAGAAAGGAACAAUUCUGUAAAAAUAAUGGAUUAUUAGUGCAUUUAAAAGAAACAAAGCCUGCAGCUUGUCUGUUGCCUAGCAAAGAGUUUUAACAUUAAUUAAAAAACACAUUUACAGCAGCUGGUAGACAAGGCAUAGCUGGGGAAGAGGGGCAGCUUAGCUCUGAUGAUUGAAUUGCUUCACCUGGAGGUGGUCACAAGCUCUUGGCUCUGUGCAGAGGUUUGGGCUUCUGUAGUCUGGUGCAGUUGCCUUGUGGGGGCUUUGAAAGAGCAGAUCCCAGCAAUGAGUCUACUUCCACACACCUACAAAUCCGAGGAAGCUUGGGGAGCAGAGGUUAACUCCUUCGGCUGAGCCACAGACCUGCCUCUUCCUUCUGGUGCAGUGUAAUCUGUAUACCUGCGUUUGCAGAUGCAAAUUGGUCUUACCUGAUUACAUCCACCAGGAGGGCAAACAGUUCAGAGCUGUACAGCAAGAUCAUCAAAGCAAUUUUUAUGUUUGCAGCUUCUCAAUUACCAGAAAGCUACAGAGGUAUGGAGACACAGUGCUGUUAAUUUGGGGAAAUUAUUAGAGGUUGCUUCACACGAUGAUAUGGACUUCACUUAUUCAAGAGGAGUUAUCUCUAUCCUGAUAAGAAAUGAGAAGAUCACAGAAUUUCUGCCCAGACCAGUGUUGUUGCUCUCUGUUGAUGAAGCCUUUGGAAAGGACCUGUCUUCCUCACUGAUCUCACACUGUAAUUUCUUCAUGCUCCCAACCGGUUUGAGUCAGUGAUUGAAUAUAUGAGCCCUCAGGAGCAACGGAGAUGUGUUUGUGUUGUCUGGUGUGGUACCCGCUCUGUUCCUUGUCAGUACCUUGGCAACUGGUGAAUGAUUUUCUAGUGCAUCAAGGAAGAAGAAGCCAGAGAGUUGCAUGAAGGCCAGAAGGUAUAUUUUUCUUCCCAGCAGAGGAACCUGUUAGUUGGUAGAUGUCUUUUCCCUGUUGUGAGGAGAAAUGACUACUGUUCCACCAAAUCAAGGGACAAACAAAUCCACAAGCAUUAUUUUCCUUGAAUAGGACUAGAUUUAGUCUUGGACUGACUGUGGCUGCUGAGUCAGUCUGGGUGCAUCUGAAAAUCUUGUAGUAACAUUCAGAAAGAGCUGACGACAGCAGGAGCAUCAUUGUCUCAGCUGGAACUAAAGCUCCAGAACUUUUGUGGAGAUACCCUGAGGUUUCAACUAGCAAGCACCCUGGUGGCUAGAACUAGCAUUGCCUCCUUCAUCAGACGUCUGAAAGCUGCCCUGUAACCUGUCCAUAUCCUGAAUGAUCCUGAGCCUGCUGAACCUACAAGAGGCACAAGUCGUGGCAGCAAUUAUUUGUAAUAGUAGCAGUUAUCUCCUGGCCCUGCUUUAUGAACUGAAAACCCAGGUGCUUUGCCUGGGACUAGGUCCGGUUGAGAGCAGCAGAAAUAGGAUCUUUUAGCGAUAUCCAUCCCUCAGCUAGAGGGUUCCCUAUCAUCUGGUGCUCAGAGAAGGCGACUUUCAGAUGUCUCUCGUUUGCUCUCGCCACGCUGAUUAAGCCCUUCCCUCCUCGUGAAAGGCAGGAGAGGAGGAGCGCUGGGCUAAUUGCAUCACAUUAAGCUGCCUUCAGCUAUUUUGCCUGCCUGAUGUGUCACAGGAUUCAGACUGCAGUUGUCUCUGCCCCCGUGGUGGUGGUGUUCCAGACGGGCCGUUUAACUCUCUUUUCUGCCCUCUUAAUAUUUUGGGAAUAGAAGAAAAAUGAAGGAUUUUUUAUAUGGCAGGAUCUCAUCACUCAAACCACUGAAGCUCUGUCAUCUCCACCUGCUUCUCUUUUAGCUCCCAGAGAAAGGAAGGUGUCGAGUGUACAAGAGGAUGCUCCUGCUCCAGAGGCUUUCAGCACGUUGCAGGUUCUCCAAAGUUGUGUUGCCAAGACUGAGAAAAUGCAGCUGUGUGAGCACCAAACCAUACUGGGGCUUUCCAGUUUACACAGAUGAUCGUCAGCUUAAAGCUUUAAGGGGCUUCGUUAGAUGAGGAUUCAUUAAGAUGCAGCUGCUGGUGUUGUUUUUAACUCACGUGUGUGUUUUUUCCUCCCGACUAGAAGUUGAGAAAGAGGCAUUUAUUCCCAUCAUACAUACACAUAAUUUUAAAUUUGCAGCAAUUUCACUAAGAUAAAACUGGAAUUGCCUGUGCCCUGGUGUCAGUUUCAUCAGACAAACUGAAAGCAACGGAUCCUAAUGAGGUGCUGUAAGAGAUCUGUUUUUAUCUCUAUGAUUAUGGAGACAUUAAGUGAACCUGGUUUUUGUCUUUUCAGCAGCUGAGCAGACGUGUUUUGCCAUUACUGACAUAAAGCAGUCAGAACAGAACAAUCAAGCUGCUGCUCUGGACUGUGGGUGCCCUGCGAAGGGAGCUGCGUGUCUGUGUCUUAACAGGUCUCCACAGCUUGGUCCCACUUACCUUGUCACCACUUAAGCUGUGCCAUGUCAUCAACCCUUCCCUACCACCAUGCUAACCUUUCCCAGUCUCCUCAUUUCUCCAUAAAAGCUUUCGUCCUCGCUGAGAAGAGCCCGUGAUCCAAAAGUCCCCUUCCUUCCUUCUGCUCUCUCUGGCCAGCUCUCGGUGCUCUUCCAUCUGCAGUCCCGAGGUGGGUGAAGAAGCUUUUGUCCUGUUGUUGCACCACUUUGGGUUGCUCAGGAAACAGCUCAGAUGUGCACCCCAAGCUGUCAGCGUGCCUUGCAGGGGUUGUCCAGGCUCACUCCAAGCUACCUGGCUACCAGCAGUGCCUCCGCAGCAGCCCAGCUCCUGCAAAGAAGCAAGGUCAUUAGCAGAGCUCCUCAGGCCAUGGUGCCUGCACACUCGCUUUGAAUAAGUCCAGAUGAUGUGCUAGUAUGCUCUAGAUGCAGAAUACUUAUAAAGCCACUUGGCUACAGGAUGCAAAGCAAAAUCAGAGCCCUUCAGGCUUGGCCCAGAGGCAGUUUGCUGUUUGGAGCCGACGUGUUGCAAUCCCUGACUUUCUCCACAGCACCUUAAACCUGGUCAGAGUUGUAAAAUGUUUCCCUUCAGACAAUCUAUGGCUAUUUUCCACAAUGACAACGGUUCUCCUACAGCUGGAACUGGUGGCUCCGGGGCCUUUUGGGGGUUUGACCUUUUCAUGCUUCAGUAACGGGGAUGAAGCUGUACUGAGUCUACGUGCAAGCGAUGACAGAGCAGCUGGCUGGCUGUGCCUGCCUGAAACACUGAAAAUAAUUGUAUGUAGUUACCUUGUACUUCUCACCCAGACUCUCUGUUGAUUGGAUUUGGCUGUUAUCUAAGGUUUUUUAUGUAUUUAGGCUGUAAAACCCUUUAAAACCAGCACCCUCGCUGCCCGCUUGGAAGAGCAGAGAGGAAGGAAGCGUGCAAAGUCGAAGCGAUGCGCAGCCAUCGCCUUCCAGAGAGACCCGAUCACCUGCAACGUGAUAGACGAGCAAACGCGCUGUUUCAGUGUGCCUAAUGGUGUUCGGGAGGAUGCCAUACAGAAAAUAAUGACAAUGUUCUUGAACACCAGGAUGCUUUUAAAACACUGGAACAUGCAGUGCAGCUGCCUCCCCACCAGGAGCCACUGGCAAUCUGACUUAAUUAACAGAUCCCUUCACGUUUUACAGCAGGGAUGUUAUUUUGUAGAAAAGCAUCGUCCAAGGAAGAGCGGUGCCUCAGCACCACGGAGAGACGGAGACAAGCAGCAAUCUGGAUUUUGCUUUAGAGGCUUUUAGAAACAAGCAGCUCUGAUUAGCUCAUUGCUGGCCCAGCCAAAAUAAUAAUUCAUCGGGCUUGGAAAGCUCCGUUAAAGAGGAGGGCAGGAGGAGCAUCUCAUUUUACAGAUGUGUUGGAGGAGAGACAGUUGUUUGAUAGCGGAGUGUGGCAGUGGAGGUGCUGUGGUGGUGGGUGGCGUGGAUCCUGCCCUGAUGUGGGUGGCAGCGGUGCAUUUGGGUGACUGUCCUUGACUGACCGGCAGCUCCUCCAUCCUAUCGUCUAAAUGAGGUUUUUCUCAACAAACACAGAGAUUAUAACAGCGAAGUUCGUUAAAAACUAAAGAGCAGAACCAUGCUAAUGGGGACUAUGCCAAUACCUGUCCAAGACAACCUGCAGCCUAAAAAAAAAGAUGAAAGGAGCAGAGUUGCAGAGCAACAGGGUUUUUAACUUGAGAAACUAAGUUGACUGUAGAGCCUGGUGUGCCUCUGUCUCAGUGGGAACUCAUGUAUUGUUAUGAUCUGCAUUGCUAAUGAUCUUAUGAAUUAUUAUGAUCUACAACGCUUGCUUAAAUGUGACUGUGGUCUGGGGAUGGGUACCUGAAAUUACAGCAUGAGAAGUUCCUAGGGGGGAGUUGUUGGGUGUCUGGUUGUGCUUCUGUGAUGGGUGAAGGAUUAGGAUCCCAGUGCGACGUGGGAGACAGCAGAGAAAACGAGAAGGUGACACCGGGAGCUGUUGAUCUACAGCACAGAAACCACUAACCCAGCAGAACUCUAUUUUUACGGAAGAAAAAAAAUGGCACAUCUUCCUGAGCUUUGCAGGGCUGUAUGUCAAUUCUUGCUCAAAGGGAUUGCGAGAGACUAGCGCGUCGUGAUCACAGAGAUUAGGAUUUUAAUACCUUCCCCACCUGUAUUCCUCUUCGCGCAAAGUGUGCCAAGGAGCUGCAAGUCUGUGACUCUGCCAUUCACUCCGUGAUGAGCCUGGUAAACCACGAAGCAUUAUUUCUGACUGCUGAUCAUGCAAGCUGUUCGGGAGCAAAAACUUGAGCGCGGGAGUGGUUUAGAUUCGUGGUACCGGUUCCUGGAUCAACCUCUACUUUUAGCAGCCCUUGGGAUAACAGCAGCAGGAAUCAAUGAAACCAGUCAGGAAACCAAUCAUCCACCUGGGAUGCAGAGGGCGAGGGGAGGUGUGAUUUCUGUAGCUGAAUUUCUGGAGGUCGUGAUGAAGCCAGCAAAGAGAGAAGCAGGGAGAAGCCCCCGGCUCUACAUCAGGCCAAGCCUGGUGAGGAAAGGAUGGGACGACAGAGGCAAUCCCACACCCUCACCAAAGGGAUCGGGUAAAGAACCCAAUUCCUUAGCCCGUUGUUGCCAUCGUGCAGCUCUGAGCUCUCGUGCUGGGAUCCAGCCUCUGCCUUUGACAGCAGCAGCAGGAGAAAGAGGCACCUGGGGAGCUGGAAAUGGAGCUUAAAGCUGAAUUUUAUCCGUGUUAGCAGGAGUGAUCAGAUUACAAAGAAGGAAGAAAGAAAGAAAUGCAUCUGGGCUUAUAUCCAAUUGGAUUACUGUCAACCACAUCCAGCUGAGAAGGGAAAAGACAGAUGUAUUGAUGGUCACUGAAAUGAGAUGGAACAAAAGACGACAACCUGAGCAGAGAAGAAAAGGCACAACAGCUGCUCCUUCUCCUCGUUUUCUCCUUCUGCCCAUGGGCCACGUCCAGGUUUGAUUUCUUCACGCCCACUUGCCAUGUUCAGCCGGAUCCAAGAGUCAAAUGGGCUGCGGAUGGAGAACUCCCCAGCAGGAGUCACAGACGAUAGUGUUGGCAAUUCCAGAUCUUUGGUGGCUCCCAGUCAUCUGUCAAACGUUAAGUCUCAAAAGCCCUUAUUUAAAAUUCAAAGGCAAGAAACUUUGGCCUAGAAGAAUGUGGAUAUAUUUAAAAACAUCAAAACCAGAAACCUCAGCAAGCAAACCAAAUAAUCAAACAGUUUAAUCAGCAUGCUGCCCGUCGGUCUUUGCUCUUAUCAUUGGAAGUUUCAGAGGCACAGCUCAGGAAAAGAAGUGUGUUAUUUUGUUUGAAAGAGAGCAAGAGUGACAGCGAUGCUCCUUGGGAGGGCCUUGUCCUGCGGAUGGCUUCCCAGUCAAAACCAGCGGGAUUUGGACUUGCAGCUGCAUUUCAAUCAACCUGGAAAAGUCUCCUUGAAACGAUUUGCCCAGAUGUUGGCCUUAUUUAAAAAUGAGCUUUAACCUGGAGCUUCCCUGUCACCGUUCCCAUCCCCUGGAGCACUGAAGAAGCAGUAGCAGUGACGAGCAAACUCUUCCAGAGCCCCACUUUGAAAUGGACACCCAAAGGAUUUAAUUAUUUCCCUGGGCCUGAUGCUUGACUAUUUCCAGUGCAACUCUGGCUGCUCACGCAUUAGUUUCAGUUGAGAUUGCUGGCGUGCCGCCAGAGCGAGGAAGUAUAUGGAUUAAUUAUAGGCCUGGCCACCUGCUUCACCUAGCGCCAGCUCCCUGGAUUUGUAGCUAAUUUCACGUUGGCAGGCUCUAGCCUUGUGAUGGUGGAAAUGGAAGCGGGCUUGCACAAUGCUGCUUUCACCAACGUAAUAAAUUCUGAAUGUCCUGCUCGAUAUUCUGCAAAAUAAAUUGGAAACGCAAAAGUAGACUUUGCUCAUUAAAUCCGUGUACGGAUCUGGAAGGGAGUAGGGAAGAAGUGAUCGGGUCCUCCAGCCUCUUGCAGCUCCCCUUCCCUUGGGCUGUGAUGACUUAUAGAAGGGGAACGGGAUGUUGGCGGUAGGCGAUAGGUGACUGCUGUUCAGGGAAAUGGGCAUUUUUUCAGGUCAUUUCCAAAUAAAGCGGGGCCAACGAUCGCUGGCAGUUUCUCUUAACUGAGGUGCUUUUUCUCAUUGCCUGUUUGCCUCCUCUCACUCCAGAUUGUUGUAGGCUAAAGGACUGAAAUGGCAUGUUGGGAUGAAGCUUUGCUUGCUUGCUCAGUAUCCUCUCAAAGCUUUGUUAUAAGGCGGCUGAAUUUCUCUGUUUUAGUUUCCCAUACUGAGGGGAGAUGGAUAUAAUAUUCUGACUCCUUCCGUCUUCUGGAUAAUUCAAGUUGUGAGCUCCUUGGGGUAAUGAAAAUUCUCACCGUACCGGUACAGAGUGCUUACAAACGUACUGUAAUCUUGUCCUGGGCUUCUAAACCCCACUGCACUGGAAGUUAUAUAGCAAUGAAGAGCCUGGAAAGCACCUGGGAUUCAGUGCUGACCUCUGUAAUACACAAUCUCCGUAUCAUACCGCAGGGAACAAAUCAGUCAAACAACAAGGGGCAUGGAAAUAAGGAUAAUCAACAAGUUCUCUCACUCCCCUUAACCUCUGAGGAAAUAAAACAGCCAAGGAGAGAAUCCUUAAUUCCUCCUGAAUGCGGGAUAACACCGUUGUUCUUCAUGGCAAGUCCAAUAAGGCUCCUUUUCCUUGCUGUGUUUGUAUCCCUGCCUCUGCACUCUCUUGGUCCCUCCACCAUUUUCUGUUGUUUUCUAGCAAAGCAGGAAUCUGCUAGGGUUAUCGGGGUGGCCAUACAGUCUCUACCGUAGGGGAAAAGCUGUUCUUGCGAAAGCGUGUGUUUUUUGUUGAAAUUAUUUGAGCUGUUUGACUUCUGUGAAUGCACAAUGCACCAACAGAUGAGCUGGGGAUGACGUUUUGCUUGGGAGUACCCAGUAGGAGCAGGUAGCAGAGGGAUGCUGUGACCAUUGGGGUAGCAUCGAUACCUUGAUAGGCAGGUAGAAAAUCCAGCCUGCUUGGGAGAAGAACCUGAAGGCUCAAUCCUUCUCCCACCUGAAAAAUUUCUGCCUUGUUGUAACUUUACUGACGUGGUCCUUAGCCAGAAAGGAGACGUAGCUUGCCUUGUUUGCUCACACCCCGUUAUGAGCCCCGCAUGUAGGCUGAGCACUGAGAAAGUCCCUGCUGAAUGCUUCAGUGUUCUGUUACCCACAGAUUUUAAUCUUUUUUGGUUCAGUUUUAGCUUUUUACGUGUCUAAAAUGGGGUUCUACAGAAAGCAAAUCAUGGAGAAAGCCUGGCUUGAAAAGCAAAACUUGUCUGUUAUGGUGUGAGUUACGAUCGGUCAUUUCUGCCCAUGCAAAUAAAUCAAAGGAUUUUUGUCCUAUUUUACAGAGGGUAGAGAAGAUAGAUGCUGGAGUCUGAUGUCUGAAAUGAAAUUUAAUUAAGCUUUCUUCUUCUUUAUGGCAGCCUGGAGUUUGUUUAGCCUAUCCUAGUAUCUGAAAAAUCAUUAUUAGACCAAUAAUUUCUGAUGAACAUGUUCUAGGAAAUAGUGUCAAUUAUAACUGUGUAGGACUUUGUUAUUUCAGUCUAUUACCUGUAAAUGAGUUAUUCAGGAACAAGAAGUUCAAUUGAUAAAAGGCAAAAAAUCAAUAGGUAAGAUUGUUGAGAUUAAUUCUGAGUUUGUAAUGGAUUUUUCCUCAUCGAGGUUUCCAAAAGCUUUUUUAGACUAUCUGUCAUAGAUCUAAAUUUAAGUUUCCUGGACCUAAAUGUGUGACUAAACUCAAGCGAAACUUUUGUAAAUCCUUAUUUUUACAUUAAGUUUGUUAAUAAUUUCAAAAUUGCAGCCAUUGGGGAUAAAUGAUGAGAGCUAUAAAAACACUCAGGACCUUCUUUAGCAGAAAUUGCAGUGAGUUUUCUGGAUGCAAUACAUUAAUAACAAAGGGAUCGUUUAGUUUCAUGUUUAUGUUCCCGUGCGUGUCAAGGAUGGGGAAGUUAUUGUGCAGGGUGCUGUACCUGCUCAAGGAGAGUCAUUCAGAGAGAUUUUUGUCUAUAUAGGGAAGGGAAAGGGAAUGUUAAUCCCAGUUUCUGACUGGGAAUGAGGAGCCUAAGUGCUUAGCCAAAGGGAUGCUGUGGCAGACAGAAAUUUGAACCUUCCUUGUACUGGGGAAUUUUGAUAUGACAGGGAGAGGACUAGAAAAUAAAAAAUUUCGAUAUGAUAAUCUUGUAUAACAUAUGGGUGGGAUGGUGAAAGGGAUGGGACAUAAUUCCUUCGUGCUGAGACUCGAGCCCCUGGCUCAUUGAGGUGUUGGAGCAAUUACCUAGCUGUAUCAAGACGUGCAGAAUUUAUUUUCAAAUCCAUUUUCUAGUAACAUGUGGGAAGUAAGAUGGGCUGAGAAGCCUUUUUAGGCUUAACUUUGGCUGGAAACUUGCCCCUCUGCUCUGACACCCUUGGAACUCUGAAACCAACGCGUGUUUUGCCAUCCUUCCUCUCAUCACCCUCUCUCCCUGUUGUCUUUGCUGAGCACUUCAUAAAUUCUGAUUGCCUGAAGACUGGAGAAGCGUCGAGCAUCCUUGAAGAGUCCUUGUCCACUCCUUUCAUGUGACCACAACAGGUCUCCCAGGAUGUUUUGAAAAAGUGCUGCUGAGUCUGUUCUUCUUCUGCUGGCAUUUGACACUGGUGACACCCAAGUUUCUCAUUUCCUUUUACUUUUUGUGCUGAACCAGCAUUUGCUGGCUCUCCAUCCAGCCACCUUUCACUGUCACUGGACGGAAGCUGAGAGCCAUCAUCUGCAUCUCCGAGCCCAUCAAUUAGUUUCUGUUUUAAUCAAGGAAUCGUAUCUUUCUCUUCGGGCCCAUCAAUCAUCCCUGGCUCUUUGUGAAGCUGCAGCCAUCCAUCCUUCACCUGCCUCAUUACUCAGGGGAUGCUUGUGCCGCGAUGGUGGGCAGGAGGUUGCUGUGCCAGCACUCCCUGCGGCGCGGAGAGAUUGCAGCCUGCUCCUCUGCAGCAGGCAGGACCUCAAUAUUUCUUCCUUUCUUCCCCCCUUGCUUCAGGGGGCUCAGGCCACUUGGGAUGAGCUUUUUUCUUGCAUAGCUUUAGCUCAUUCCUGCUCGGGCAGGGCUCUCCACAAUCUAGGAGUUGUACAGUGUCGUUUGGCAUCAAAUCGGCUUUGCAGCAGCUCUGCCUCUGCAGCAGGGAACGCACCCAGGAGAAGCCCACUGAGCAAGCAGUCAUCAUCAGUCACAUCUCUACUGGUGUGCCGGUAAUUAAUUAAGCAUGUAGUAGACCUAAUGGAAUGCAAAACAAUGCCCAGAGUUAAUGCCGUGAUUUCUGACCCUUGUUAGUGUCCUGCUGCCAGUGGGUGAAGUAACAGCAGAGUGUUUUGGAGGAGUGACAUGCAUGUAAAUCCCCUGCUAGGAGUAAGGACAACACGACGAGAUGCUGCUACAUUCCUUGUUCUCCUUAUCAUGGCCUGCAGUAUGAAGAAAACCCCUCUCACUGCAGACAGAAAGAUGUGCCCACACCUGGGGAGAGAUGUCCCUGUGUUAGCCUCUCAUUUUGGGCAGGGGUCACGCCGCAUUUCUCUGUCGCAUCCCAUGCUUGACUGCAGCGGUGCCAGCAAAAGCAACGCCGUGCCCUGCAGAGCUCGAGGAGAGGAGGGGUUAACCCCCAGACCCUCCACAUCGCGUCCAGGCGUGUGAAGAAGCAAAUAAGACAAGUGUAGCGAGGCAUAUUUCUCAUUAAACAUAGCAACUGGAAACACAGCUACUGGAAAAGGGAGCUCAUUUAUCAUAUCUCAGGGAUGACACCGGGUUUUAUUAGCUCCGGGGCUGUAGGUAAACUCCUUGCUGUCUUUCUGGGUAGCACAAGGAAUCAGAGCAUCGCAGUUGCUAGCGUUUCAGCCAAACUCCUGUUUUCGUGUUUCCUGGCUGCUCUUAUUAAUUGUGUGAUAUAAUUCUGGGCAAUAAUGUCCAAGCCUAUCAGGACGAAGCCUGGUGUGUGCCCCGCAGAGACUCUGGUCCCAGGCACAGAGACCUCCAUUGCCAACGUGGAUUUAGCUUCUGCAUCUUGAAACUUUGCUCCCUGGGACCGUGGCUCUCAUAUUCAGCCAAUGCCUUCAGAAAGUGAUUUUUCAGGGCAAAUGCCAGACCUUCAGCUGCCAUGCGCAAGGCAAUGACAACAGCUGCUUUAUCAUGUCUUUGUUUCUUUUCCAGAUAGCAGCAGUUG